rnacentral:rRNA from 1 species
GACAGAGGGGGCAAGCGUUGCUCGGAAUUACUGGGCGUAAAGGGCGCGUAGGCGGGAUGGCAAGUCGGUCGUGAAAUCCCUCGGCUCAACUGAGGAUCGUCGAUCGAUACUGCCGUUCUUGAGGAUUGCAGAGGAGACUGGAAUUCCCGGUGUAGCGGUGAAAUGUGUAGAGAUCGGGAGGAACACCGGUGGCGAAGGCGGCUCACUGGGCCGGUCCUGACGCUGAGACGCGAAGGCGUGGGGAGCGAACGGG